UACGUAGGGGGCAAGCGUUGUCCGGAAUCAUUGGGCGUAAAGAGCUCGUAGGUGGUUCGGUAAGUCGGAUGUGAAAUCUCCAGGCUCAACCUGGAGGGGUCAUUCGAUACUGCCGUGACUAGAGUUCGGUAGGGGAGUGUGGAAUUCCUGGUGGAGCGGUGAAAUGCGCAGAUAUCAGGAGGAACACCCGUAGCGAAGGCGGCACUCUGGGCCGAUACUGACACUGAGGAGCGAAAGCGUGGGGAGCGAACAGG
rnacentral:rRNA from 1 species